rnacentral:lncRNA from 1 species
CUUGUUGAUUAUGGUGACAGAUGUCAUGAAUUUGUUUUUAAUUUUUCCAGAGUGAUUCGAAUGUCCUCUCCAAUGAUAAACAAUGUGGUUCUAGUUGGAUGUUUCUUUUGCUAUACGUUUGUUUUGUUGUUGGGAAUUGAUUCAAGAUUUGUUGAUGAUCAUGUCUUUGGUAUUUUGUGCAAUGUACGUAAUUUAUAAGAAAUUUGGAUAUCACGUUGAAAUAUGGCUUGAAUAGUAAACAGUAAAUUGUACAGGAUGUAUAAAAAAAACGCAACCUCGGAAUUUCCCAAAAAAAUCAACAUUGUUUUAAGGACAAAAUACUUUAGGUCCUUGGGAAUUUAAAAUAGCACAGCUGUCAAAAUUACUGCGCAUGCGAGUGAUAAAGCAAAAUUUAUGCAUUUAUUUGAUGACACUUAAUAAGUUUUAAUUUUACAAGUAAAGUACAAGAACAGUUAAAUUACAAGGGUCUUGUCAGAUGUAGGCUAGUAUGAUCUAUUAGCAAUUCGAUUUCAUUUUCCAGGGGCCUAAAAUCUUUUAUGCUUGGGAAUUGCAAAGUGAAUUUCUUAGGAUAUUCCGAGGUUGCGUUUUUUUAUACAUCGUACCCUGUAUAACGAGACGUUGUUAAUCGAAAAAUUUGUUAAUUAUGUAAAUCGUUACCAACAGCAAUCGCUGGCUGCAAAACAAACUCUGACGAAGUAUUUAGUCUAAUGUUGGUCUGACUUUAGUUACUGUCUGUUCUACAUUUCCAAAAUUUGUACAGAUGUUAGUAUAAGCAAACAAAUGCAGAAUAUGCAGUACCUUACACCAGGUAAAUUUCACCCUAAAUAUUUCUACAAACUAUGUUCUGCAACCAUGCAGCAAUUGAUGCAAAUUGCAAACAGCCUACGCUUAACAAAAUUUAGUAUUUGCUACAGAAGCCGUAUUUCAUCGAUAACAUGCGCAAAUUAGUGAGGAAGUAUAAUAAUCAUGUUCGUUAUUUCUGGUCAUGAUUGCGCUCAAUUAAGCUAGCAAAUGAAGGGUUUUCUUAUUCAAAACCAUAUAGUAAUUAUAAUCAUAUCUAUUGUUAUAUGUCUUUAAAGGGGCCCUACAGUAAUUUUUUAGUUGAAAAGCCACCUUAAGUUUUGUUUACAUUUUUUUUAUUGUCGCUACUUGACAUACCCACCACGGCAUGCAUGCGUCUUCCGGUGUGCGGAAGUACUCAUACUCAUGGAUACUGCAUGUAAGAUACAGCCAAACGAAUCUCUGUGGAAUCCCCUACUUAAGGUGGUUUUUCGACUAAAAAAUUACUGUAGGGCCCCUUUAACAGUAUAGUUAUAUCUGUAGGUUUAUCUAGAAACUUUUCCAUCUCUCUAUAUAUACAAUAAUUUUAAACUCUUGACGAAAGGCCUUCGCUCGAAACGUCGAGUUUCUGCUUAUUUUUUAAGGUAGUAAUAUAACCACUCAGCACAGCAUUUUCACAUUGGUACUACCUACACUGGUACAGACAGUUUUAUUAAUUUUAAAGCCAGUUCUUUAAUUUUUCUAAAAGAAAAACAUAAAAACUGAAUAAAUAAAACAAUUUACACCAUGCAUCGUAAUGUAAACACAAAUUAGCUAGCAAACUGAUGCAAGGUUAAUGCGCCGCAAGGAGAUAUAACGCAUUUAAUUAAAGUUAGUGAACAAAUUACAAAUAGUCCAUGGAUAGCCGUAAUUACUUAAUUUUUACAAUGCUUCAAAUUUUUCGUUUUUUUGAGUUACUUUCAUGUAGUUUUGAUUUAUUAUUGCAAUUUUGCAAUGUCAAGAAAUUUUUGACUCUUCAAAUCUAAUCACUUAAGAAGACCACCUAUACAGUGUUUGUACUCAUUCCCCAGGAACCAACUCAACAAAAGUCAUUGUGGCCAUGUUGGUGCUCCAGAAAAAAGAGUCUAAUUAAAUUCUUUUGAAUUGAAAUACCAACAUGUCGGCUUUGAUGUCAUGUGCAAACGCUCUGUAUACAGAUGUGCAAAGUGAUGUGGAAAAAGGCCGUACGUCUCUACCAUGACCUUAUAAGUCAGAGUCAGGAAAGCAGUGACUUCUGUCCUCGGUUGGGUAUUGCUAAUUCGCCCAAGCCUAGAUUAACUAUUCUAGUACCAGUGUUGUAUAUAUCAUUAUUAAUCAGCAUAUUAUUAUUCUUCCACCAGGUACGUCUGUAUGUUUUGGCAAUUGCAUUUUCCUUGGCUUUUGGUGCAUUAUUCAGUAAAACAUGGCGAGUACACAAGAUAUUCACCGCCAAAAUUGCUAUAAAGAAGAAAGUAAGAAAAAAUAAUAAAAAG